GGAGAUGAACCGGCAGAUCAAAGAGCUCCGCCAUGCUCUCCCUGCUUAUGGUAAGGAUAUCUGUACUGACCCUCCUUUCUCUCAAAUGAUCAUCAACACCAUCUCUGGAGGGCCCCAGAAGGGAGCGACUGGUGGAUCGGUCGGACCACUCAAGCGGCAAAGAACUGAAGGAUUUAUAACCUUUACUGAAGAAGACGCCCGGG
rnacentral:lncRNA from 1 species